UACAGAGGUGACAAACGUUGUCCGGAACUAUUGGGCGUAAAGGGCGCGUAGGUGGUUGAGUAAGUCAGGUGUGAAAGCUCUGGGCUUAACCCAGGAAUUGCAUCUGAUACUGCUCGGCUUGAGUACGGUAGAGGAGGGUGGAAUUCCCAGUGUAGCGGUGAAAUGCGUAGAUAUUGGGAGGAACACCGGUGGCGAAGGCGGCCCUCUGGACCGAAACUGACACUGAAGCGCGAAAGCUAGGGGAGCAAACGGG
rnacentral:rRNA from 1 species